UGGAAUGUUGGCGUAUAGGUGCAAGGAAAAUAUGGUUUAAGCAAUCACCUCUUGGGUCAACCUGCUGCAAGUAAUCUAAGGCAAACGAUUUGGAAAAAUGAUGCCUUUGACUGCAAUUGAAGCAUAUGAAAAUUGUUGACUGGAAACUAAAGGUUCCUCUCAGAAACUGUUAUUAGGUACGGAGAAGGAAACACAUGUCCUUGAUGAAGUAAGAAAAAUAAAAAAGACUUCGGAAGUUGAAAAUAAUGGCAAAUGGGGAAUGAUACAGCUUUGCAUGGGUUCUAAUAAAAAAAAGUCUCAGAAGAGAAAAAAAUAAUAUUUUCAUAAAAAUCCCUUUUGGAAGGCAUCCAGACAGGCGAGGUCAAUUCUAGCUUGGAGGCAAGCCGCUGUGACUAUUUUGAGAUUUCCAAGCAGGAAAGCCACAGGGGUGAAGUGCAGCUGGAAGAGAGGGAGCCAAGAGUUUCAUCAGCAAAGACUUCAUCUUGACUUGUUUUGCAAAGAAACAAAGGUGGGAGGUCUUUGCUCUUCCUCAGGGAUGUGUUGAAUAUUCAAAAAUAUUAAUUUUGGAGCAACAGUGCCUACAAUUUUGGAAACAAGCUAAGUCAGAGCUAUAGUUGAUUGAAUUGGCAGAAAGCUCCUUUGAAUCUCCUGAGGACGCCCAUUCUAAGUCUCCAUGGCCCUUCAACAAGAAAUCAAAAUGACACAACAUACAGACCAGGAAGUCUCCAGAUGGACUACAACC
rnacentral:lncRNA from 1 species